ACACCCUGCUCUGUCUCCUAACUCUCGCCCCCCCGACCUCCCAUGGUGUUUCUUGGAACAGGGCGAGCAAAAAGAUCAGCCUCCUGUGCAGAGCUCACACAGGGGCUGCACCGGCUGUCUGAGCUGCACGUGCUGCUGUCUGAGCUGCACGUGCGCGGUCACCCCCUGCCUCACACAGGAGGCUCGCAGAGCUGUGUCCCUCCAGGACUACCCAGAAGGCCGCGCUUCCCUCUCAGCCCGACUUGGUGGGCAGGCCUGCCGGUAGCCGACCACUCCUCGGUGCUUAUCGCGGUUUUAUCUUCCCAGCAAGUUGCUCCCCUUUUGCUGUAGCCGAGUCUUGCGCGGAGAAUUCCUGGCAGCCCAGUCCCACGCCAAGGUUUGUGCCCGGCCCAGCCAGCUUGAAGUUUUGAAACGGAGACCUCUGUCGGAACGAGCCGGCCAUGGCUGGACACCGGUUUGGCCUCCUUCCCCUCCGCCUUUGGAGGAGUUGCAGUGACAAGCAAGGGGCUGGAUGGCUUUUGAAAAUGGUAUCAUGAUCCUGCAGGAUUCAGCAAACAGCAAACUGUAAGUCUUGAGUUAUAUUUCAUAAAUAUAUUUGCUCAUUAGAAAAGAAAAUUCCUGGGUGGAGAAGAUGCUUCAGUGAGCCACACAGGCCUGAUGAGCUUCAGAACCCAUAUGAAGCUGACAUAGUAGCACAAGCAUGUUUGUGGAGAUAAACUUACAAAAAUAAAUGUUGGUUGUAACUGU